AUACACAGUUCUUACUGCUUUGAACAUUAUUUUUAUUCUUUCAGCUCAGCUUGUACGAAGACAUGAAGAAACUCACCUUCAGUCAUGCAGAUGAUUGUGACCACACUCUAGAAAAUAAUGAUGGGGAGGGAAAGGAGGAGGAAGACACAGAAGAAAGGAGCUUUCCAGAUGUCACACAUUAAAGGGAGUUGGAUUUGCAGCCAGCCAAAAAUAAAUGCAACAAAGAGUAAGUAAAGAAGAAAGGGGUUGUCAUUGACAAAGUGGAGAACUUCUGGAGAACUACUUUUAGCAUCUUGGGUG
rnacentral:lncRNA from 1 species